rnacentral:rRNA from 1 species
AUUGAACGCUGGCGGCAGGCCUAACACAUGCAAGUCGAGCGGUAGCACAGAGAGCUUGCUCUCGGGUGACGAGCGGCGGACGGGUGAGUAAUGUCUGGGAAACUGCCUGAUGGAGGGGGAUAACUACUGGAAACGGUAGCUAAUACCGCAUAAUGUCGCAAGACCAAAGUGGGGGACCUUCGGGCCUCAUGCCAUCAGAUGUGCCCAGAUGGGAUUAGCUAGUAGGUGGGGUAAUGGCUCACCUAGGCGACGAUCCCUAGCUGGUCUGAGAGGAUGACCAGCCACACUGGAACUGAGACACGGUCCAGACUCCUACGGGAGGCAGCAGUGGGGAAUAUUGCACAAUGGGCGCAAGCCUGAUGCAGCCAUGCCGCGUGUGUGAAGAAGGCCUUCGGGUUGUAAAGCACUUUCAGCGGGGAGGAAGGCGAUAAGGUUAAUAACCUUGUCGAUUGACGUUACCCGCAGAAGAAGCACCGGCUAACUCCGUGCCAGCAGCCGCGGUAAUACGGAGGGUGCAAGCGUUAAUCGGAAUUACUGGGCGUAAAGCGCACGCAGGCGGUCUGUCAAGUCGGAUGUGAAAUCCCCGGGCUCAACCUGGGAACUGCAUUCGAAACUGGCAGGCUAGAGUCUUGUAGAGGGGGGUAGAAUUCCAGGUGUAGCGGUGAAAUGCGUAGAGAUCUGGAGGAAUACCGGUGGCGAAGGCGGCCCCCUGGACAAAGACUGACGCUCAGGUGCGAAAGCGUGGGGAGCAAACAGGAUUAGAUACCCUGGUAGUCCACGCCGUAAACGAUGUCGAUUUGGAGGUUGUGCCCUUGAGGCGUGGCUUCCGGAGCUAACGCGUUAAAUCGACCGCCUGGGGAGUACGGCCGCAAGGUUAAAACUCAAAUGAAUUGACGGGGGCCCGCACAAGCGGUGGAGCAUGUGGUUUAAUUCGAUGCAACGCGAAGAACCUUACCUGGUCUUGACAUCCACAGAACUUUCCAGAGAUGGAUUGGUGCCUUCGGGAACUGUGAGACAGGUGCUGCAUGGCUGUCGUCAGCUCGUGUUGUGAAAUGUUGGGUUAAGUCCCGCAACGAGCGCAACCCUUAUCCUUUGUUGCCAGCGGUCCGGCCGGGAACUCAAAGGAGACUGCCAGUGAUAAACUGGAGGAAGGUGGGGAUGACGUCAAGUCAUCAUGGCCCUUACGACCAGGGCUACACACGUGCUACAAUGGCAUAUACAAAGAGAAGCGACCUCGCGAGAGCAAGCGGACCUCAUAAAGUAUGUCGUAGUCCGGAUUGGAGUCUGCAACUCGACUCCAUGAAGUCGGAAUCGCUAAUAAUCGUAGAUCAGAAUGCUACGGUGAAUACGUUCCCGGGCCUUGUACACACCGCCCGUCACACCAUGGGAGUGGGUUGCAAAAGAAGUAGGUAGCUUAACCUUCGGGAGGGCGCUUACCACUUUGUGAUUCAUGACUGGGGUGA